AGAGUUUGAUUCUGGCUCAGGAUGAACGCUGGCGGCGUGCUUAACACAUGCAAGUCGAACGGAGUUACAUGAACCUAGUGAUUGUAAACUAGUGGCGGACGGGUGAGGUAACGCGUGGGUAACCUGCCGUAUACCGGGGGAUAACACUUAGAAAUAGGUGCUAAUACCGCAUAAGCGCACAUGAUCGCAUGAUCAAGUGUGAAAAACUCCGGUGGUAUACGAUGGGACCCGCGUCUGAUUAGAUAGUUGGUGAGGUAACGGCCCACCAAGUCAACGAUCAGUAGCCGGCCUGAGAGGGUGAACGGCCACAUUGGGACUGAGACACGGCCCAAACUCCUACGGGAGGCAGCAGUGGGGAAUAUUGGACAAUGGGGGCAACCCUGAAUCCAGCGACGCCGCGUGAGUGAAGAAGUAUUUCGGUAUGUAAAGCUCUAUCAGCAGGGAAGAAAAUGACGGUACCUGACUAAGAAGCCCCGGCUAACUACGUGCCAGCCGCGGC
rnacentral:rRNA from 1 species